rnacentral:misc_RNA from 1 species
GAAAUGCGAUAAGUAAUGUGAAUUGCAGAAUUCAGUGAAUCAUCGAAUCUUUGAACGCACAUUGCGCCCGCCAGUAUUCUGGCGGGCAUGCCUGUUCGAGCGUCUUUACAACCCUCAGGCCCCCGGGCCUGGCGUUGGGGAUCGGCGGAAGCCCCCUGCGGGCACAACGCCGUCCCCCAAAUACAGUGGCGGUCCCGCCGCAGCUUCCAUUGCGUAGUAGCUAACACCUCGCAACUGGAGAGCGGCGCGGCCACGCCGUAAAACACCCAACUUCUGAAUGUUGACCUCGAAUCAGGUAGGAAUACCCGCUGAACUUAAGC